CCUGCAAGGGAAGUCUUGUUGGAAAAUAUAUCCCAAAAAGCCAAUCGUCAAGCUGUUGAUGGUUGAAAGUAUUGUAAUUGAUUUGUUAAUAAAUAAAAUAUAUUUGGUAUUUUCAUCAUAAGCUUUCAUCUUCUAAUGAACUCCGUUGUUACGAUGAAGUCCUUAGGACUAUUUAGAUUCGAUAAAUAGAGGAUUUAUCGAUUAGUCCUUAAAACAGUUCACGAUCAAAUGAUAGGCUGUUAAUAAGGACGACAGCUUCUAUCAAGCAUAGGU
rnacentral:lncRNA from 1 species